ensembl:lncRNA
CACAAAUAUUAAAGUAUUUUACAAAGCUGUAAAAAAUUAGAAAUAUAGACAUAGGAAAAGACAAAGAUUAAUGAAACAAAAGAGAUAGCCAAGAAAAAAAACCAAGGCCAACUAGUUUAGUAUAUCAUUAAUUGAUAAAUAAUAAAGCCAAAAAGGUGGGAAAAUCAUUAUAAAAAUUCCAAAUUAAUUUCAUUUGAAUUUAAAAGUCAAAACUAAUAAAUUAAAAAUUGGGGAAACAUAGGUAACUUGGCCCUCACGAUGGGCUUUUAAAUGUCCAAAUCUAGGCCAGAACAAGGAAAAUUACAAUCUCUACAUCCACAAAUAGACACAGAUUACACAAGAAAAAUGGGGGAAACACAGUUACGACACACACGACCAGUAAGAGAUUAAUACCUUUAAUAGGUAUAUUAAAGAAGUUAAUAAGCAAAAAAGACGGAACAAUCUAUCAGAGACAAACAAAAGUCAUAAAUGCAAUUCCAUGAAUGAAUAUAGAAAGACUAAUAAAGAUGCCAAAAGAAGGUUCAUCACUAGUCAUCAAAGAAGUAAAAUUAAAGCCAUAGUUUGGAGUAUCAGGUUGGCAAACAAAUAAGCAAAGGAAUGAUAAUACCCAGUGUUAACAAAGGUGUAUGGAAACAGCACUCUCACAGGAUGUCUGUGGGAGUCUAAAUUGGGACACUCUCUCAGGACAUCACACUGGCAAUGAUAACAGCAGUAAUGAUAACAACAGCCAAGAGAUCUAUGCUCACUGUGGUCAGGCCAUGAUCUAAGUACUUACCACACAUUAAGCUACUUGCAUCUCAUAGCAAUUCAAUAUGGACUUAUUGUCAUCUGCACUCACCAGAGAGGAAACCACUGUCCUAGGAAAUUUUCCAAAGCAGUUGGCCAACGGCCCCUCUUGGAUUCAAUCCUAAGAGAUCUGAAUCCACAGCCUGUGUCUUUACAUAUACAGAAAAUACGAGUGGUGCAUUGUGACCCUAGGGAUCCUGCUUCUAGGAAAUUGCCACAAAAAACAAUCGACCAUGGCUACAAAAAGAAAUGUAUAGGGAUAUUUAUUGCAACAAUUUUAUAAAGUUGAAAAAUGCAGUGAUAUAAAUUAUUAGCAGAAAAUUGAUGAAAUAGAUAAUAACCUUAUUUAUCCAUUAAUGGAAUAUUCAAUCAUUAAAACCAACUGUGGAAAAAAUGACAUAUUAAGUGAAAAAGGUAGGCUCUGAAAUAAUAAAAAUGGAGUUACUGCUCUAGAAUAAUACCAAUGUAAACCGGGCAUAUGGAUUAUUUAUCUGUUAUUAUUGAUGCUUCUAUAUUUUACAAAUAAUGGGGGGAGUUUCUGGGGAUUAAACCCAGGGCCUUGUGUAUGCUAGCCAAGAGCUCUACCACUAAACUACAUCCCUAGCCCUUGUUGUUUACUCUGCAACACAGUCUUCUAAAGUUACCCAAGGCUGAACUCAAACUCACCAUCCUUCUGCUUCAACCUCCUGAACAGCUGUGACUACAGGCAUGCACCACCAUGCCUGGUGUACUGCAUUGCUUUGAUGAUCAAAAGUUUUGCUCAGUGCUGAAAGAAAAGAGUUAAAGAACAAAACUUGUCCUUUGGACAUGUUUAAGCCUUUUCUACACUACUUUAUCCUAUUUUUACUUUUGAUUGACAAAACUGUAAUAUGGGUAGUACAAAAUAUGGUGUCUUGAUAUUUGUAUACUUUGUGGAAUGUUUAAACCAAGGUGAUUAAUAUGUGAAACAAACGUGUCAUUUUGAUUCUCAUAUCUGAUCUAUCUUCCUUUCCUCAGCUCUGAUUUCUGAUAUACUUUGUAACAUACAUACUCUUUGAUAAUCAACUAAAUAAAUGAAAUAUAACACAGUAAGAGAUUCUUGACUGAGCCCUUUGAGGGAACAGGAGGAGAGAGCUCAACACAAAUAUAAAUUAAUAUAAGAGCUAUUUGGUGAAGUCCAUCCAACAUUCUCCACCUAUUUGUGCUUGUCAGCCUUUGAGCGUUAAUCUAGACAAACAGGGAUCCAGGACCAAGAGGAUGAGAAUGCUCCCUUGGCCCAGCCCAGGUUGAGGGGCUAACAGGAAUCCGACCUUGCUCUGCUAAGUGUCCUCCAGCCCCAGGCUAGAAAGAGCUGGAAUAUAUCUGCAGUGGUGGGUGAUGGGAAGCAAUUAAAGCCGGGCAUCAGUAUGCGCUGUCUGACCUUAGGAGCACCAGGUACAUGUGGAGAGCUGAGAGGACCUACCACCGGGCUGCCAAGUAUGGUGGUCUUAGCUUUCUGCCCACAUGGGGCAGUGUUACUCAACUUUUGCAGUGUGCUGAGCCUUUACUCCUGCUGGGAUGCUGGUUUCUAGAAGAGCACGGCACUUUAUAGUCUACCAAAUGCAUUCAUGACCAUUAUCCCAACUUGCUGCUGGCAGCAGCCUGUGAGGAGGGCUCUGUCACAGGUGCUUGUGACAUGUCCAGAGCAGUGUCUGUCUGUCCCCACUGAGUGGCAGUAAACACGGCAUCAAAUGGACAUGAAUGGCAAUGGAGAUCACAGAUUUCCACCUGUAAAAUGAAGGUAUUAGCACCUUCUCCGGAUUAUUAUAGAGAUAAAACCAGGUCCUGAUUAUAAAGUGGCUGACACAUGCUAAGGGGUAAAUGGAAGUAUCUGAAGAAUCAAAGAAUUAAAAUGUGGAUCUCAGGAACCCUAGGGUGACCCACUGUCCUGAACUCACAAGUUGUAGAUGCCUCAGAGUUCCGAAGAACCAAGGCCCCGAUGUGGCAAGAAGCCAUGAAGGGUCAGAUGGGGCUAUACCCUAUUACACCACAGCCCCACCCACCCACUUGUUCUCACAAGCCAGCAGUUAAGAAAUCUAUUUUUCUUGUCAGAAAGAAAGGCAGCACCAGAGGGGGCCAGGUUGCCAAACUGUACUGCCGAGCUCCCUGGGCAGCAUCAGGCCUGCCCUGGGAGGGAGCAGCUUCUGCAGAAUUUGUGCUGACCUAGCCUUUCCCUUGUGAUGAAAGCAGGAAGCCCCUAGUGCCCCUGCAAACCUGCCAGAGGCCUCAACAGCUCCCUCCACCCUGGGGGGGCAGGUCAACAGAGUACCUGCUCAGCCCUCAGGCCCCAGGCACAAUGGAGACAGAGAAUGAGACCUCUCUGAGCACUGAGCAAAUGCAUGCUUGCUGGGCGCUCUGCUUUCCACAGCUAUGCAAAGCAAUGCUCCACCAAGGCAGGAGGAACUUGGGUCUCACUUCUCUCUGCCUUCCGAAGACAACUGCAAUAUGGCAAAAGGGCCUUGGAGCAUGCAGGAGCCCAAAUGGACCUGCUAGCACCUACACAUUAUGUGUUCAAGUCCCUCAUCGUGCUUAUUGACUCAGCUGAAGGUUGGGAGUGACCACAAUCCCUAACUUACAAGUUAUUUUAAGAAUGACAUGAAAUAACUCUGAGACAUCUGGUCAGAGCUAAAGAAUUCAAUGAUUUAUUUGUUCCACCUGACAUGGCCAGGCAGCCCAAUGUAACCAGUCAAACUCAGUCAUCAUUACCAAGAUCUACCUUCCUAAGGUCACUGCCAGCACCUGCCAGCUCCAGCUGAUCCUGGUUGUGCUCUGUCUCCACAAGGCCUGCACUGACCUCAGAGCAGCUCGGCCCUUUCUGGGAGCAUAAGCAUUUAAAGAACUUUACAAGAAGUAAGCUUAUAAAGUUAAGAUAUAACCGUGCUUUUUUUCAUAAUCUAAAAACCUUUGCUGGUUACCUACAUUCUUGAAAAUAAAAGUCAAAACUCCUUAACGUGGCUUCUAGGUCCCUUUGCAAUGCUACCUUUCUCAUUCUUCCCUGCCAUCCUUCUAAAUCCAUACGAUGCUGUACAGGUGCCCAGUGCCACCCCACACCUGUGUACACGCUCUCCCCUCUCCUCACUCCUCCCUGGCCUGUUCUGGCCCUCUUACAUAUUUUAAAGGAUUCUGACUUAAGCAUUCAUCUCCACAGAAGGAAGAAGCCCUUGGUGCCCCUUCUCACUUUUCUAGCACUCCCAGAGUGUGUUCAUGAACAUCAUCUUGUCUUACCACCUUCAUUUACACCGACAUCUCUCCACAGCACAAGGAGAGUUCCUUGGGUCAGGGGCUACGUCUUCCUCAUCUUUGUAUCUCCAGCUUCUGUCACAAUGAAUCAAUGAAGGCUGUCUGUCUGUCUUACUCCAGCACAUUUUUUUGAAUCAAAAGGACAUUCCUUUCCAGUCUACCUCCAGGACUACCAUCUCAAACUCUCAUCCAGUCUCAGAUCCAAGCCUUUCUCCUUUAACCUAUUUCCUGGACAUCCAGAUAACUCAACCCCUCAUCUACCAAUUUCUUUUUCCUCACAAAUGAAUGUUUAUAUAUUUUCAUUUGCAUUCAAGUACAUAUUCAUUUAUCUUAUGUGUGAGAGAACACUGAACGUAUUACGUAGUUGGCCAGCAGGUCCUUUAAAGUUUAAGAAUGUGUUUUGUAGCUAUAGAACAAAUACUGCAGAUUUGUUAAGCAGGGUUUGAAACCACGGUUUCAUUUCCAUUUUUCUAAGAUAAACCAAAUGCAUAUCUCAGAGAUGAGCUCCAUCACAAUGUGGGGAUAACAGAGAUGGUGGGAAUAAUAACAAUUCUAUAACCCUAAUAAUUACCAGUCAUUCCUGGAAUAACACUGACAUUUGUUGAAUGUUUUCUAUGUGAUGAGAAUACUAAUAUACUAAACAUGAUACAAGGACUGACAAUAUUCACAACUUUAUACCACUUGAAGUUGUGUGUCUUUUUUGUCCUUCAUUUCUUCAUGAAUAAAAUAGAGAUAGUCAUGGAAUCUACAAUAUAGUGACUGAAUUAAUUAUUAUAUAAAAAUGCUUAGUAGAGGGUCCAGUAUGUAGUAGGGCCCCAAAAUGUGAUCCCUGCACCCUCAAAGUUCAUCUGAACCUAAGGUGAUUAGCCCUGACCACUAAGGUCAUCUGCCACAAAAUUUGCUGUGUGGCUCAGACUGUCAAGGGGUAGAAAUAAAACCAACAGGUGGAAGAAACAGGGAACAGGUAUCUACUCAUUAUAAAUGUGUUUUUCUAAUAAACCUUUUGAAGGAAUGCAAUGCAGCAAUUUUACUUAUCUACCUUUAAGUAACUACCAGUCACAUGUGUAAGAUUUAAAAUAUGCUUGGGCCUUGUUUGCAAGAGUGAAACUCAGAGCAGCAGAUCUAUAUGUAUACACAUAACAUAUAUAUUAUAUAUAACACAUAUUAUAUAUAUAUAUGCAUAUAUACAUAUAAUUUAGGGAGAGCUAAAUAAACUGUGGGGUGUCCAAUCUAGAAAUUACUAAGGAAUAAUCUGAGUAAGAAUGUGACUGUAUACCUGCCAAUAUUAUAUUCAGGCAUGGUUCUAAGUGCCUAUAUAAAUUAAUUCAUUUAAUCCUCACAGGAAAACAGUGGAUAUGAACAUGCUAUAAUACCCAUCUACAAAGACUGAAGGAGGUUAAAUAGUGUUACACAACUGGUAAGUGACAAAUCUGAAAUCCAAAUCCAGGCACUCAGGAGCCAGGAACCACCCUUUUAGCCAUAUUGUGCCUAUUUGUUGUUGAGUGGAAAAAAAAGCAAGAGGCAGAAAAAAAUAUUAUACUAUUCAGGUAAAAUCUACACAGGGCACAAUAUCACAUUGUUUAUAAAUAUACACAAAAAGGUGAGAAAAUAUUCUACAAAAAAUAUCACAUCAAAUUAUACAGUUUGUCUGUGUGGAGGAGUUAAAGAAGGAAGGAAUGGGGGCGCCGGGGAUUUAGCUUAGUGGUUCUGUCACCUGCCCCACAAGCACAAGGACCCGAGUUCGAUCCCCGGUACAAGAAAGAAAGAAAGAAAGAAGGAAAGAAGGAAGGAAGGAAGGGAGGAAGGAAGGAAAGAAAGAAAGAAAGAAAGAAGCAAGGAAUGGGAAUGGCCACCAGAAAGAAUUUUGCCCUAACCUUAAAAGUCUUAAAUUUUUAAAACACAAUGUAAUCCAUUAUUAUAGCAUUAUUAAAAGCUUAUGAAAUAAAAAUAUAAGGAACCAACUACUUCUGGAUUAAAUGAGCUAAGGACACACACACACACACACACACACACACACACAAGGUGGCUUUAAUUUCUACUCCUAAAGGAUUCUACAGAGGGGAUUCAGACACCAGCGAGAGAUUGGAUGAUUGGAGUGAAAGCUCAUCGCAGCUGAUGUUCCCCAUAAGCAAAAAGAACAACAAAAAUUCCUCCACAUACUUCAAAUUAAACUCAUCAUUUAGCCCCAGACUUGCCCCACUGUCCUCCCUAGUGCCAUGAAAGAGAUUGCUUCUAUUGACUCAAAUGUAAUAAUUGCUUUUAAAUUUCCGCCCCCUUUUCUAACUUCUUUAUUAAUACAAAGUAAUUUAACCACUCCUCUGAAGCCCUUUCAUCACGUGAAGAGGGCAAUAUAGGCCUAAGUCUUUUCUUCACCAUUCUAGCUGUGGUAGUGGUAGUGCUGAGAAUGACUGGUGACAGGGAUGCUGGUGGUGGUGGAAGCAGUGGUAAUGAUAAGAAUGGAUCAUGGUAGUAAUGUGGUGAAGGUGGUAGUGGUGGUGGAGGAGGCCGUGAUGGUAAGAAUGGUGAGAAUGAGUGAAGGGGUCUUUGGUAGUCCUUGUGACCACGGCAGUGCUGGUGGUGGCAGCGGUGAAGGUAACGGGGCUGAUGGAGGUACUGCUAUUGAUAGCGACAAUGAGCAGAAGCAACACCAGUAGGAGUGGGGACAGUGACAAGAUGAUGUUGUUGUAGGAGAUGGCAAUAGAGUACAGUAAUAAUAAAAGUAAUGGUCAUACAGACAUGGUGGCAACGGCAUCGGUAAUAAAGGAAACAGAGAUGUUGAGGGCAAAAAGAGCAACUCUAGGUCUAAGUGGUUACCUGGUGACUGAGAGCAGAGUACAGAAAGUAGGUGAGAAUGAAGGCAGCAAAUAGACCAAUACUGUCCAGGCUGGGUGGCCUCCAGGACUUCACUUACGCCUUCCCACCCACAGCACUUUGUUCUGAAUCUCAUCCUUCCAUGUCUAUUCCAUUUUGGAUUUCUGCAGGAUGGUAACUUCCUGCCUGCACUUGAAGGAACAAUGAGAGGGGAGUAAGUAAGCUCCAAAGCGCCAAAGCUCCCAAGUAAGCACCAAAGUAAGCUCUCUUCACCAACCUCAGAAAGCUUUGCGCAGGCCUGUCCUUCAUGGGAAGGCCAUCAAGGAGGAGUGUGAGCUGCAUUCCAGGGGAGGUGGCAAGGCUCCACUGGUCAUACCCACCCCAGCACUCCCACGGACCUGAGCCCUCCCUGCCAAGGGACAUUUGGCCUGCCAUGCCACAAAGUACGCAACUAGGCUCAGAAAACAAAGCAAUUUUUUUUUUUUUAAAUCAGUGUGUCUACAACAGUCUGUCUAAGCACACAGUAAUCACAACAUUUAUGGCCUCCCCAGAACUCAGUGGCAUUUCUGAAACUCAUUCCAGCAAAAACAGGUAAUUUGGACUCAAAGCAGAUUAAUUCCAUAUCCAUCACCCAAGGUCUUGGCUGAAUUACCUGCACUGUCUCAUAUUUAAUUGACUAGGGAUUAAGCACAGUGGGAGCAGCAAGUAAGGUCAGCCUGCUCUUAUUCCUUCCUCCAUGCCUUCCUCUGGGUUUUAUUUGGUUUCCAGGUGUGACACUAUGCUGAGUAAGGAUGCGGCUUAAAAGUGUGGCAUCUAUGUGCCCUGACCACAACCAGCACUCCCUCCAAUGAUGAUAGUGAUGGUUGUGCCACCAAGGGCUCCCAGGUUGGACUGGAUGGCCUUCUCCUCAGGACAAGCUCAUCCUCCAGUAAAAGAACAGCCUCCUCCUAGGAGUGUAAAUGCCAAGCAUCUCCUGUAAUUAUCACUUUUCUCAGCUUCUCCCUCUUCUCUCAAAAACCUGGUCACCUAAUCCUAACUGGGUACAGUCACCUUGGAUAGGACGCUCCCCCCUGCGUUUAUGUAGCCUACACUUACAGGGACCACCAUUUGAUGGACACUGAGCUAAGUGCUAGAGGUUCAUGAUAAACGAGCUUCGGUCCUAUCCUCAGUGAGUUUUUAGACCAGCAAGGGAGAUGGACACGUAACACAUAAUGUAAACAUAAUCUGGAAAGUGAGGAGUUUUGUACUUUUUUUAAAAGUUAAGCUCAGAAUAACAAGGGCCACAGAAAAGGGACUCAUAACCUAUUGUCAGAAGAAGUUUCAUGGGAGAAAUUAUAUAUGGCUUGGCUGAGAACCACCUUCCCAUCCAAGGCUGAGCAGGUAUCACGAAGCCUAAGCAUCUCCUGCUGAAGGGACCCAAUCUGGAGAUCAGCUAUCCCAGUCCACUCUUGUAUAAAUAUGGAAAGUAAGACGGACAGUGUGGGGCAAGCUGCCCAGCAAGGCAUAAAAUCAGUCCUUGAGCCAUUCAGUGAGAAUGCCUGUUCCACGGGGAGAGGAGGGUUUCAUCUGUUUUGUCUCUCUUAUUGACAACUAAAUGCUCUCAGGAAAUACUUUAUGAUGCUGACAUUGAUACAGAAUCGUGAGACUGGACAUUAAAACUGUUUAAAAGCAUGUGUUUUGGAGUCAAACUGCAACAAACAAAAACACCUGCCUGCAGCCCUGGCGGAGUUACUUCCGAGUGUGUGACCUCAGCAAGUGUUUUGUGUUCCUCACAUCUCACUCUUGUCAUCUAUAAAAUGUAGACAAAGCACCAGAGAGUGUAGUGAUACACAAAUGAAGUGACACACGGGGAGCACUGAACAUGGUGCUUAGCACAUCACAUGUGCUCAACAACAGAUAUUGUUGUCAUUGGCAAUAACAGCACUGAGACUCAGAGAAGAAAGUGGGAAAGAACUGAACAAAACAGACGAGACUAGCCAGACCCCCAAUACAACAUAAGCAAAGAGAAGACAAAUCCAUCAGAGACAAUCCCCAGCCUCCCACCCCAACAUGCGACAUGAAGCUUCAUUCAUGCUUUCAGCUAUAAUUCUGACCCUUACACACUGUGUGCUCCUGGGGUGGAGAUCUACCCUGAACUGCCAUCGCUUUCCACACCCUAAGAAAACAAUCUUUCUUUGAAGUUUAAUCAAACACCGAGUUUUUUUGUUUCCAGUAGCUUUCUCACAUAACAGAGCCUGUUUAAUCCUCAUAACAUCAUCAAAAUGUAAUGAAUCAAACCUCUUUCACACAUGAAUACAUAGGUUAACAAAGAUUAGGUAACAUCACAUGGUCCCACAGUUGGCAAUCGGCUUCCAUUUCAAUUUUCCUGACACCAAUUAAGUUCAUCAGAAUUUUCUCAGAGCCCAGGAGCCUUUUCUAAGAAUGAGCUGGAGGCAGAACAGAAGAGGCUGAGGUCACUGUAGGAACGCUCAGGGGCUCCGAGGAGACGCUGCCAACUUCACAGCAUGCUGCUGCCCUCCUCCAAAGGUGCUCUGGGUCAGCUCCUGAGCCUUGGGCUGGCCUGUCCAGGGGCGUGCUUCGGCAGAGAGAUGGACAAGCUCUCACACUUCGUGGCCUCCUUCCUGCCCUUAGCUGACACAGGGCCAGGGAUCCUACACCCAGAGUCUGCAUUUCCCAGGAGGAUGCUGGGAGUUGCCAACAGGGCGACAGCAGUGUCUAUGCUUUCCUCUACUGUUUUCUAGCCCUUCCGAGUCCACAUACCUCCUCCACGGUUUCUCCCACAUCUAUGCACCACCCAUAUUGCAAUUUAUUUAAUAUUUUUUCUAAAUCAACUAGUUUUACUUAGCCAAAUUUUAAAAGACAUAUUAAUGACUGUUACCUUUUUCCGUCAUCCUAAGCAGUAAUAUCCACAAAAUCAUAAAUCUGAGCACACAUAUACAGACAUAAGUACAUGCAUCACACAUGUGACAGGCAUAGGUACAUACUUCACACAUCCUAACGCACAUUAAAAGCAAUGCUUAGAUUCUAGACUAGGAAAAGUUCUUGGUUCACUAGCAGCAAGCAUACUUCACUGUAUGUAACUCUUCUAUAAUCCAUACAGGAUACAACAGGGAUUACGUGGAGUAAAAUAUCCUAAUUAAUCAUGGAGUAUAAUUAAAUGUCAUAAUAACUUAGUCAGAUACGCAUAUUACAAUCGUGUUCAAAACAGUAAUUUAGAAAUCUGUGCAUCAGAUACCUACUUUAAAACUUCUAAAAUGCAGUCUCACUUAUCUCCCCUUUUUCUGGACUAAACAAGCAUUGAAACCUGUUGGAGUUGCUCAAAUGAGAUCAGUUCUCAGAGUUGGUUACGGGGAAAGAUAUUAAUCUCAUUAGACUCAAACCACCAUCAUUAUAAAUCUGGAUGAAAAUAUUCUAUCCUUUCUACCUUCCUUUUCUCUCUCCUUCCCUCCAUUCUUCUGCUCCAUUCUUUCAUCUUUUCUUUCAAUACACACUGACUCACUGCCUCAUGUGUACUUGGGUUCCAGGCUUAUUAAAAGUUGGAGUGCCAUCCCUGCCCUCCUGAAGCAAACAGUCUCACUGGGGUGGUAAAAAUAGACCACAACAUCGAAAGCUAGGUCACUAACAAUCCAGAAGUGGGAAGACGUUCAUUCAGUCAACCACCAGCACUCACGGAGGGCUAUGCUGGGAAUUGUGUUGGGUUCUUGAGAUGCAAAACAGUGAACGAGACCUAGUUACUCCUCAUAGGAGAGAUCAGUCUAGUGGGAACCAAGAUCACUGUGCUGCAAGACGAGGUGCUCUCCCAGUCAGUCGGGGAAGAGAUCCUGGAGGGGGAAUCUGAUGAGAGUAUUAAAAGGUAAAUAGAUGUUAGACAAAUUAAGGAAGAGAGCACUCAUGGAUAGAGGAAAAAGCAGUAUAAAAGAUAUGAAGGCAUUAAAAACAUCCUAACUUGUUAGAGGAUGUGGGGUUGCUAAAUUGGACAUUGACUUUUAGGCAGCAACUGAAUGACAAAAGGCCCCCUGAGUCAAGAAAUCUGGGCUUGACCAUGACAUAGAGACACUGAAGAUUUUUAGAAUUUUAGAGACACAGAUGGUGAGGAGUAAUGUGAGUCAGUUCUAUAACAACACUGUUAGGCAGGGACGCUGCAGGCACCAUGGACACAGACAGCUGACAAAUGAGAAUCAAAGAGUAGCCCUUGGGCCAGGGAUGAGGCUGACAAUCCUGUCUGUCUUCCCAGGAGAAAGGAAACUGGUUCUUGAGAAAGAGUGGGAUGUAAGGAGAAGUACUGAAACCUAUGGGAGGCAGGAGUUAUGAGGAGAUGAGGCAAACACAUUCACAUAUGCACGUAUACCACACACACAUACAGGCAAAUGAACACAUCAUACAUGUGUCACAGUGUACACAUACCACACAUACACAGAUAUGUACCCAUACACAGGAAAACACGUACAUAGCACACAUACAGAAAGACAUAUAUCCAUUAUAUACAUGCACACAUACACACAAAAGCAAUGUGAGAACCAAAGCCCAAGUCUGAAGAAACCCAAUGUUUUCCCAGCUGCUUCCUUCUUCUGCCUCCUCCAUCCCUCAAGUACUUGACGAUCAAGCAUUCCAAGUGACCUCUGUUCCAAAUGUCUCCCCCUAACCCUUCUACUCCCCUUUCUCAUCCCCCUGAUUCACACACCAAAGGGGGUUGUGUUGUCUCAGGGGACUUCUGGCCCAGAAACCUGUGAAGACAGGAUGACAUUUAAGGAGACAGGAUAAAAAUAGCAUUUGGGAGGAAAUCAAGCAUUCUGCGGUGUUCAGUCAAGUCUGGAGAAAAAAAGCACAGGGUUAUGCACAAAGAAGUCAGGGAAGCUAAGAAGAAAGGGGUAGGAGAAAGGAACGUGGUCCGCACAUAACAAACCCUUCUGCUUGCCCACUACGUGGUCACACUGUAUAUCAAAAGGAAGACACAGUCUUUCUUCCCCCUUUAGCAGUAGGUCAGGAAGACAGCCAAGACAUGAAGAAAUUCAACAGAGUUCGCAGGGUCCACAGAUGGCGAGACAGCUAGUAAGUUGGUAAGAAGAUGAGUGGGCAACAGAGUAUGGCUGCUAAAACUAAUAGUAACAGAGACCAAGGAGCGACAUGGGGAUAUUUGCAAGACAACAGUGCACAUGAAAAGUCAGCACCCAGAAUUGAGAGUUUAUAUAAAGAGGAAGUAUAAAGAACAAGGUAAGAACACUUAGCAAAAUUUUAAUACUAGUUGUAUUUUCAAAUUUGUAAUGAAGCUGUUUUGUUGUUGGUAUUUGUUUUGCUUUGUUUGGUUUUGUUUCUACUUAUACAGCAGAAUGACCUACUGGAGGAUAAGAGGGCCAGUUCUACCACAGGGUCUUCACUGCCCCUAAAGCAGAUACACACAUACAAGCAUAAGUACACGUAUGGCACAAAUUAAUCCUUCCUUUGUGGUCCAACUGCAGGAGGAUCUAAAGCCACUUACAUGACAACCCACAUGCCUUUCUUAAUCCAUGCAAUUAUAUCCACCCUUGGUAAUGACACUCUGCAUAACAUGGGUCAACCUUUGUCACCCAGCCCUCCCCUCCUGCUGUAUUCCUCCCUCCUCCUCAUACUUAGCUCAGGUAGGGAAAUACUCUUGGGAGAAAAGUUCCUAAAAUGCCUCUGAAGUGAGUCUGAGGCUGGCACCCAAGGAGGCAGAAGGUUUCCAUGUUGUCUCUAAGAGACCCUGGACUCUUUUGUCAUCUCACCCAAUGUCUUCCCUGCCUCUGACCCUCCUCUUCUCUCCCUCCUCUUUGACCAGAGAGACACCGUGGAAAGGAGGCACCAAAAGGAUUAGAAUGGGGGUGAGGUAUGCUGACUGUAUAGUUGAAGAAACUGAAGUUUGGGGGACAGUUCCUUGGCUGAACUCACAGAUUUUUGGUGUUCAGUACCAACUUAAGACACUUAGUUCUGCAAGAUCCCAAGAUCUCAGAAGAGGAAAGAUUCUGAUCUCACCCUUCAGAAAACACCAGAGGCUAACAAAAUAUGCAGCUCCUAGCUCUGCUUCAGGACUAAUGAAGAAAGCUCUGGAUCCAAAGGACCAUACACAGCCAGAGUCUCUGAGAAGGCUUGAUUCAAGUGACAUUCCAAAAACCAAGAAGCAAGAGACAGAGCAUCAGGCACCUUGGAUGAAGGGUGGAGGUGGGGGUGGUGAGGAAAGCAGUUUGCUGUCAUUGGUUUAUUUAAUCUAUAGUUUCCAUGGGAAUUUAAAUCAGACUCUAUUUUCCUUGGGCUAAACUCUUACCUCCUCCUUGGCUGAUCAACAAAUAUUUAUCAAUAUUUACUCCGAGGUUCAGCUCUGAGUCAGGUGAAGAUAUGAAGACUUAGGGGAUCUAAUCUCACCUGGAUGAUGCUCCUACCCCAGAAAGGAGGGUCCCCAGGAGCCAGUUGUGAACCAUGGUUUCAUACUUUUUAGCUUUAGGAUUAUCUGAAGACAUGGACAGAGCCAAAUGAAGUCACUAGAGACCCCCUAACCCCAACUAAAUUGUAGUCAUUCUUACUUUUUUAAGCAGUGGGAAGGCUUGCUCCUCAAGUCAUCUACUUGACUUCAACAGGUUCAGGAGCUGAAAUAAGGAGCAUAUGUUGAAUAAUGAUCAAAAAUUGAGGAUAAUCAAUAAGUCUGAUGAACAAGGUUUACUGGCCAUAGCAGAGAUCAGAUCCACAUGUGGUCUUCAAUUGCAAACCCUGUUUGCUACCUGUGGGCAAGAGAGAAAGUCACACCCAAAGCCUGCAGCCACGGGGAAUUCCUGAAAGUAGCAUUUAAGAAUCAAAACUGGAUUUGAAACCAAAGUGGAAACAGCUCUUACUGUGUGUGCCUUGCUUUUCAAUGAUCCUCAGUAAAGGGCAAAUACCUCAGUGUAGGUCACCUAAGGUGAUGCGUGGAUUAAAACAUUUAGGCCAAAAAUGCUAAUAGGCUACAAGACUCAACUGUAUAUGAUCUUUUCUUUUUGCCAUAUUGAUUUUCAGGUUCUGUUUGCCUCAACACUCAGUUAAAACAACAUAGAUAAUCCACCCAAGGGAUAUCUGGAGACUGGCUGGUUACGAGGUCAACAUUCUUAGACCACCAACAACCAUCAUAUACCCAAGAGGCCUCAGGCAACAUUCCCUAACCCAGAACAGGUCUGGGGAAGACAGUCUUCACCGCUCCUCCUUGCUCAUAAAGUUUAUAUAAGUGGGAAGUAGGCCCUGAGCCCUGAGGCUACAGAACAGCUUGCUUACCUGUGAAAGCUGGGAUGUGCCACAUCAGCAGUUUACUUCCAGGUCCAGAGGCUAGUGUACGCAGGUCAGCAGCUUCCUUCGGCUUGCUGGGCUCAGCUACAAAACCUCCACUGUCACCUUAUUCCCACUCACACUGGCAGGUCUAAGAGGACCUCUUAUUAGGAGAGAGCAGAAAAUCACAACCCGAUCUACAGUGGAAGGAGUUGUGUCUAGGGAGCCAGGUUCUAGUUUUUGUCCUGGUGCAUACCCCUAGAAAAUGGUUUAGCCUCUCAGAUGUGGGUUCUUCAGCAACCUUGACAAAUGAAAGGGUUGAGUCUCUAACAUGCCCUUUGGCACCCACAGCCCAGCAGUGCGUAACACUGUUGCAGAGCAGCUGGGAACAUUCUUGAAAGCACUCUCUGACCCCUGCCUCCCAAAGGGUAUGUACCUGAGUGUGACUGGGAGACAUCCUUUGCCCCAUUCCUAUGGAUCCCAAAAGAAAAGGUACAUUGUGCAUGGGAAGAACAUAAGAGUUAAAGAGAAAAGACUUAGGUCUAAGUUCUGGAUUUACCACUUUAAAAGCUGAGAGUUUGGAGAAAAUCCUUAGCCUCUUCAAGCCACUUCUACAUCCAGAAAUGAAGAUAAUAAAUCCCCAGGCACACAGGGCUGUUGGGAGGUUAGAACACAGUGACCACUGCCCAUAAGCCACACACUGAAAGCGUCCAGGCCUGGGCAACUGUAGUGCUGGGGUGCAGCUCCCUGCAUAAACUGAUAAGCUCCUUGGGAAGCUUUGCACAACCCUACUGAGGUCCUUGCCCUUGGCAGAGUUACUCCAGGAGGAUCCAAAAGUCCAUACAUCCUGAUAAAGCCCCAGAACCUGGGGAUAUUAGGAUGCAGAGUAAAGAAGUAAUGGCGAGGCUGCACCCAAAGACAGCUCAAACUUAAAGAGAUGUGUCCAAUGGAUGUGUCAUGAGCAGUAUAUAACUAUUACAAUCUAUCCCUUAAAAUCUGGGAAAGGGAAAGUAGUGUGGGACAUGGAAUCAGUGGUGGGAUGACCACAGGAAAGCUGCCAGGAGAGGGAAUCCCAUUACAGAGCAGUUCUUCUCCCUGACAGCUGUUCUCCCCAUUAACAUCCAGGCACAACCAUACCUUCAAACUGUUGGCCAGGAGGCUAGAGAGGAGGGAAGUAGCAGCUCCAGAGGCCAUCUUAUACUUCCUGGGCCAGGACAGUAGAAGAAAAUACUUUCCAUUCCAUGAAGUGUAAAGGGCUUCCAAAGUUUCAGUCCCAUCCUGCCAAGCUUCCAAGGCCCUGGUCUGCGCAUACUCUUUACAAAUCACCUGUUGCCCUUUUAACUUCAGCUACAUGAAAAGUGCAUGGUUUUGGCUACUUGAAGGUUAUCAGGCUUGCAUCAGACCAAAGCUCCCCAAAAUCAGGAGCUGUAAUCCUGUGUCACUGUGGGGCCCAGAAGGGCAGGCAUCAUGUACCUCAGGCCAGAAAGGCAGCCUUCUGUUCCCUCCUUUCCCACAGCCCCUCCAACAGCUUGUGAAGGUGGUGGGACUGCAGCACUGAGCUGGAGCUGGACAUCCUCACAUCAUCUCCUUCCCUCCUCUCCUGCGCCAAGGAUGCCUGUAUGUACAGGAAGUUGAGUCUGCUGCAAAGAUAAAGCAAACUGAGAAACAAGGAGUCUCCAACUUUUUUUGUAGUAUCAGAAGCUGAAUUUCCUCUAAAGGACUUACCUAUGGUUACAGAUAAGCCUCGAUGUGUCCUUUACACCACAGAGUGCCACAACUUUCUGGGAACCGUUUCCCAGAAAAGAAGACCUAACUGGAAAAUAAGCAGCCUUGUGAACUAGAGAACAAAAAUUCCAGUUCCAAUCCUCUUGCCUUACUUGCCAUUACGAAGUAGCCACUGAGCAAGAGAAUAGUGAGGCACAAUUUUCUGCAUGACACAUCAUCAACAUGGUAAUGACCAGAGUUUAUUUUAGGGUUAUUUUCAGGGAAACAUGGAAUUACCAUCAUUCACACUUCACACACACACACACACACACACACACACGCGCCCCUCCUAUAUGGGGCCUGCCCAUCAGACAGAUACUGAGAGAACUGUCAAAGGAAACACAAUGAAAUUCUACUAGCCAAUGUCACUUUUAUAGGUGUCCCUGGAUUCCCUGCACAGGGUCUGUUCACUUACACAACAGCUGCGUUGAAUCUGUAGUUUCAAGCUAAACCUUCCACUUCUAAUCAUCUGAAAGGAUCAUCAUUCCACUGUCAGUUAAUAGGUCUCAAAAUUCCCUUCAAUUCCAACAGCAUUCACUAGCACGUAUUAAUGCCUAGUACCACAGAGGUACUUCAUACCUUUGCUCCAAUGAUCUGUCCCCUCUACAGAUAUAGGUACAGUCACAGAACCAUGUCCUAAUCUGUAAUGCAGUGCAAGCCAGACAUACUAGCAAGCACACAUUUCAGGGUUAAAUACAUAAAGGCUGUGAAUCUUAAAAAUCUGGCAUACCAAGUCUUACAAAACCUCACACACCCAUGUGUUAUCAUUCUACAAUGGCCCAUCAUUUCCUAACUGAUGUGAUAAAAUCAGUUACUGUCCACACAGCCCCGCAGGACUACUUCUGAUCUAAAGGGACAAAUCAGAAAAUAUGCAAGGUUAGUGCAGGCUGAGAGGCACGAGAUUUGGUACUGACUCUUCUCUAAUGCUUAGCAUAGCGCCCAGCAUGCUUGUGUUGGCUGGAUCAGUGAGUAAAGCUUUAAAUAUGGAUCUUUCCUCUAAAAACGCCUUAAAACUGACAGAAAAAAGAAAGAAAAUACCCUACUAUUCUUAGAAAAACAUAAGCCCCCCAAAGCCAACAUGCAAAAAUGAAAUCCUGUCAUUCUGGACACCAUGGAUGAAACUGGAGGACAUUAUGUUAAGUGAAAUAAGACACACAAAGACAAAUGCUAAGUGAGAAGAGAGAGGAAAGGAGAUAAUAGGUAUAGAAAUACAGUUAGACAGGAAGAAUAUUUUAGCAUCUUAUAGCAUAGUAGGGUAACUAUCAUUUAUAAUAAUUUAUUAUGUAUGCUGAAAUAGUGAAACAGGAGCUAAAAGUUCCCGCACAAAAAUGCUAAUCACCCUGAUGUGAUCACACUACAUGAAUGCGUCAAAUUCCCAUACAUACAACUAGCAUGUGUCGAUUAAUAAAAAUGUUUAAAUGGAUACCUAAAGAUUAUUAGCUGUUUGGGGCCAUCUGUGUUUGAGGGUCCCAAAUUUUAGAAUUCUGUGGAGAAGUAAUGAAUCCCUCAAAAAAUGUGUCAUUUUGACAUAUCAGGGUAGGAAAGAAACCACUGCAGCCUCGUCACCGCUUCUGUAAGAAAUUCUAUUUUAACACAUGACUUUCCUUCCCAUGGAUGCUCUACCAACAUCCUUGUAGUUAGGCUUUUACUAAGGACUGAUGAACACAUGGUAAUGGCUUAAACUGGGCCAUAGAUCAGUGUGGGAUCCACAGUCCCCCCUCUCCCAUGUGGCUCGUAUAAAUGGUUCUUUUCUAUCCAUGAGAUUGUUUCCCCUAAAACCUCCAUGGUGCCUCAAAUUCAAACGGAGAAACCUAGAUUUUGGCCCUCUCUCUCCUGGGUGUUCUUGAAGGAGAGGAACACCUGGCUUCAGCUGAGUUCUUGCUAUCCAAACUGAAACCAGUGCCACGAGUUUCUGAAAGCCACAUCUAAUCAGGAUCAUUUGGAUCAUUAAAACUCCACCAUAAUGAAGUCCAUUUCUUAUUGGAGCAGUUGUUUCAACAGCUGGGUGGAAUAAAGUUUGAAUGUGAUAUCUUAAAUAAUAACUGAGUUCCAAUGACGAAAGAAGGGAGAGCUUGCUGCUCUACAGACACAGAAGUGAUGCUGCCAGCGCAGUCAACAGAGAAGUCUUGAGUUAAUCUCCUAGGAGAAGACUUGAGCUUGUCUCAAACCAUUCAUGGACUCCUUCUGGGCUUUCGUAUCCAAGGGCAAGUGAGGGUGAAAGUAAGGAUGUGCUGUUAUGUGACACAACAACAGAAGACAGUGUCGCCUUCUACACAUUAAAGAACCAUCCCCUCUCCACAUGCCUGCAAAAUAGGAGCUACUAUUCCUACUUAGUAGACAACAAACUGACGGUCACAAAGCUUGACCAUUCAACAAUCAACAAAUACUUGUCCAGUGCCUAUGUGCAGGCACUGUAUAAAGAGCUAGCCCAAAGUGACACAGCUGACUAGCAAAGGGAGAACCCAAACCCAGUCAUGUAACCUCAAGUCUAUUGCAUUCCAUGGCUGGCCCCCUGGCUGACAUCAGCAUUGCCACAAGACACUGAAGUCAAAGGGCCAUGGCAGAAAGGACUACAUGGUCCACCUCUUUAGUGCACACCUCUGAAAAGAAAGUCAAUACUGGAUCCUAUGCUUGCUAUCUCCACGGACAAUUUGAAGUAGGCCCGGGUGUCAUCUUAGUUACAGCGCUGUCCAUGACGUGCAGUCCAGAACUGGGAGCUGGGGCUCAUGGACCCUUGCCACCCAGUGGGCAGAACAGAAACAUUCCAGUAAAGCUCUCAUGAAACCCAGGAGAGAAGUUUUGGCAAAAGAGGAACAGAUUCUAAAGUUUCAAGGUUUCCAGACCAAUAAGAUCAGAAGCCAUACAGUGGGGUUUGAAAAGUCUUACUCCUUGGACCAAGGACUGAGAUCUCUAGUUUGAUUCUCAUAGGCUGCCUCACACAUCUGGGACCUAUGCUAGUUAUGGCAUGUGCCCCAUGCCAGAGGUUCUGGAAACAAUGUCUGCCAUCCACUCUGGCUGGCCAUCCCAACUGACCAGCCUGCUCCACAGUUGCAUCAGAGAAGAAGCCAGUCAUACACUAAGCUGCCCAUCUCAAGAAUGCCAAAAUCUUCAUGAAUGGGCCAACCUGUGCAUGUAAUCUCAUGGAGGUGGGGCUGACAGCUAUGGGUCACGUGAGCAAGCUCAAACACAAGAGGCUGGCCUGAUCAAUAGAUGAGUCAGGACAGGUAGAGUAUAAAACCUCAUCAGUUCCAGUGCUUCUCACAUCACCAGCAUCUCCUCUCCUCACUCACCCUCCCUGGUGUUUUGGGGUCUCCUUCCUCCUUAGACAAGAUGUCUCACCAGAAAAAGCAGCCCACCCCCUACCCUCCAGUGGUUUGCAAGACCUCUGGCGGUGGAGGCGGCGGUGGCUCCGGCUGCGGCGGCGGUGGAGGCGGAGGCUCUAGCUGCGGGGGGGCGGCGGGGGCUCCGGAGGAGCCAUCAAGUACUCAGGUGGCGGCGGCGGCGGCGGCGGCUCCAGCUGCGGGGGCGGCGGUGGCUCCGGAGGAGGCGUCAAGUACUCUGGCGGCGGUGGCUCCAGCUGCGGCGGCGGUGGAGGCGGAGGCUCUAGCUGUGGGGGCUGCUACUCCAGCGGCGGCGGCUCGGGCUGCGGAGGCGGCGGUGGCUCCGGAGGAGCCGUCAAGUACUCAGGUGGCGGCGGGGGCGGCUCCAGCUGCGUGGUCGGCUACUCCGGCGGCGGCGGCUCCGGCUGCGGAGGCGGCGGUGGCUCCGGAGGAGGAGUUAAGUACUCAAGUGGCGGCGGCGGCUCCUCCGGGGGCGGCAGCUGUGGCUACUCGGGCGGCGGCGGCUCCGACUGCGGCGGCGGCUCCGGGGGCGGUGGCGGCUCCAGCUGUGGCGGCGGCUCUUCCGGCCAGUGUUACCAGACCUACGGCAGCGGCUCUUCCGGGGGCGACAUCUGCUACUCCUCAGGCGGUGGCUCCAGCUGUGGCGGCGGCUCCGGGGGCGGGGGCGGCUCCAGCUGUGGCGGCGGCUCUUCCGGCCAGUGUUACCAGACCUACGGCAGCGGCUCUUCCGGGGGCGACAUCUGCUACUCCUCAGGCGGUGGCUCCAGCUGUGGCGGCGGCUCCGGGGGCGGGGGCGGCUCCAGCUGCGGCGGCGGCGGCUCUUCCGGCCAGGUCUACCAAUGCCAGAGCUCCGGCGGUGGCUCCUCCGGCGGCGGUUCCGGUUGCGGAGGCGGCUACUCCGGUGGCGGCUCUAGCUGCGGCGGCGGCUCCUCCGGCCAGAGUUACCAGUGCCAGAGCUACGGCGGCUCCUCCGGGGGCGGUUCUGGUUGCGGCGGUGGCUCCGGAGGUGGCGGCUCCAGCUGCGGCGGGGGCUCCUCUGGCCAGCACUACCAGUGCCAGAGCUACGCCGUCGGCUCCUCCGGAGGUGGCUCGAGCUGUGGUGGGGGCUCCUCCGGGGGCGGCGGCGGCUCGAGCUGCGGAGGUGGCUCUGGCGGCGGCUCUGGGGGUGGCAAGGGCGUCCCAGUCUGUCACCAGACCCAGCAGAAGCAGCCGCCAACCUGGCCAUGCAAAUAAGGCCCCAUGGAUGCCGCGGAGAAAAAGGAGCUGGAGUUAUUCUCCGUGGGCGCCGAUGGGCUUAAUGUUCUCAAGGUAGUGCCCAAGGUUUCCAAAUUUUUCAUGUCUCCAUCCACCUAGAAGAAUCCAUCGAGUUCUCGGACUGCAUCUCGUUCUGCAGUUUUUCCUUACUGGUUUCUGUAUGACUACUUCCCACUUCCAGUCCCUCUUCACCCAAUAAAUUUUGCUGUUCAUGAGAAUCUUUGGGUCUCCAGCAGUCUUUGUAGCUUCAGAUGCAUCUGUUCAUUCCGUUUUCUCUUUUCUUCCAUUCAUUCAUCCAUGGUGUCGUUAAUAUUCUAUUGGGGGAGGUCAGGGGGACAGAUAGAAGUUAGCAGUGGAGGAAUGGCUAGCAAAUGAAAACUAAAGAUGUAAACAGUCUCGUAUAAGGCUUAAAACCUCGAAAUGAUCCCAGAACGAAGAUCCUGCUAAAAUACCUUAGUAAACAGCCUCCAAGGAGUUGUGUAACCACUAAAGGGGUAUACUCUCUGUGCUCAGAGCUUUUAAAAGAGAGGCUAUCCUGGAAAGAUGCGCUCUCUCAUCAAAAAACAAAGUGGCUAUCCAUUAGAACACUAGCCCAUGCUACCGAAGCUCACAAGAGAAAGAAUAUUUCAGGUAUUCCUGAAUCUCUGAAGUACGUGAGGCCCUCUACUAGGUACUUGCAAGGACAGAAGGAAGUAGGGGAGCUAUUACUUGCUCUCUUGAAAGAGUGUCAUCCAAUGUAGGAAGACGCAGCAUAAAUGCAUAAGGUGUUAAAAACAUCGCUACCAGAAAGUCCGUGAGAAAACAGGAAGCUUUCUAAUCAGCAAGGAAGAAGCUACAGGUGCUCCCAGGAUACAGUAAUUACAAAGCCCACAGUGUAUUCUAGUUUUACUAGAUUUAGGUAAAUGCAAAUUUAUUGAUUUUUCUCAGCAAUACUAACUGUACCAAAAAGCCAAGGUCCCCUCUCUGUAAUCACUGCUACAAACUGAAAAAUAAAUUCUCCUUCUCCAACUCUUAACCACUGAGAGUCACCAAUCGUAAAACAUACAAGACUUAGAAAGGAGGAGAAAAGUCAGAAUUGCUGGAGUCCCUAGAAUGAAAGGAGUAAUACAGCUAAAUUCCCUGUUUUCUUUUUGCCUACUAAGUGUCCCAGAUUUUGCACUAGAAAGUAACCAAGAAAUGCUGACAUUCAGAAAAAAGAGUACCCCUCCCAUCUUUAAAGGAUCAGGAAACAAUUGUGUAGCAAGACAAUUCUUUGACAACAUCUACCUUACUUCAACCAUCAUGGAGAAAAAUGAACACUUGUGGGCUUUCACCAUUAAGGGAGUCAACAUGAACUUACUCAGUGGUAAGGAGAUGGUAUACUUCCUACAUACAGUGGUGUAUUAGCAGAGGUCUACAAUAAUAGAGGAUUUAAAUAAGAUAGAGUCAUAAUACACAAAAGGUACAUCACACUAUCACUUGUCAUAACAAGUAUGUGGAAAAUUUGACUUUAAUGAAAAAGGUCUGAUCAGUAGGUUCCAACACAUAUUUUUGGAUUAUCUGUUAAGAUGUUUAAAGAAAUUAUUAUAAAAAGGCUCCUUAAGAAACUGCACACUUGAAACAAUUUUUAAAAAUCACAAAAAAUAGAAGAUAUAAAAAACCAAAUGAAAUUUUAGAAGAAAUAUAAUAGCCUAUUGUAGAACUGAAAUUUAUAACUGACAACUCACUGGGUAGCCUCAAUAAAAAUGAAUAUGAUAAAAAGCUCAAAAAGAUUAAUGAAUCAAUAGAAUUGAAAAAGAGAAGGGCUUCAACAACCUGUAAGACAACAAGAGUUGGGAUUUGUGUCAGAAUCCCAGAAGGAAAGGAGAAAGUAUGAGACUGAAAAAUAUUAGAAGAAAUAAUGGAUCACAGUACCAUAAACACAUUUUUUUAAAAAAUAAAUAAACAUGGUGGGUAAAUCUUCAGAUUCAAAAAGACUUGAGAGG